CGGGGAUGUAGCGCCACCGGGUGGUCGGUCUCGUGAGACAGCGGCUGCAACCUUAGAGCGCGAUCUAACGUUCCGAUAUGAUCCUGCCAGCUGCUGAGUUCCCUUGUGGGGUCCCAUUAGAGGUGCUGGUAAAAGAGAGAUCUUCUCCACACACCACAGGAUACCUGAAAGAAAUUGGAACAAAGGACAGUGACUGCAAGAGGCCUGGUGAUUGCUGGACUCACACUAAAAGGAAGCAUUCUGGAACUGGUGAGGAUAUUAUCUGUAUUCAGUUUGAUUAGAUAUAGAUUUGUGGAUUUUAUUUUAUUUUGCUUGGUGACUUACUUUGUUCUGUCUGUUAUUACUUGGAACCACUUAAAUCCUACUUUCUGUAUUUAAUAAAAUCACUUUUUACU